UUUCUUUUCCUAGAAUUCUCGAGUCCAUCUUUAGGAGUGAUGAAAGCCACCAAGAGAAUAAUUCUGCCUUGCUGUUUUUUUUCUUCAUUCUCUGGAAAGAAAAUAAAGUUAAUUUAGUGAGUGAUUCAUAUAAAAUAUAAAAAAAAUCAACAUGAAAAAUACUCUGGAUUGUUAAUAAAGACAAUUUUCUUCUUUUUUGGCCCCACUGGAAGAUGGUACCAUUUAAUUAGUUAUUUUUCUGGCAUUCUGUUUUAUGUGAUUAGAGAUGCUUGCAAUGAAUAAGAACUGUUUUUUAUGUUAAUGUAUUUCCCAAACCUCUGGUAUAUUGUCUGCUUGGCCUGGUAACUUAGUUUCCAGAAAUCUGGUUUUCUUUGGUUUAACAGCCUUUGGCACAUGGUAGGGAGGAGGUAAUCUGCUCACCCAUUCAUUGUUGUAUGCCCAGUGUGCACUUGCCAGUGCUGGAGAAGCAGAAUGAGGCACGUCACAGGGUUAAGAUUUCCUGAGACAUUUCCCCAUAACCAGCAUACUGAAAAGGGCAAUUCCAUUUUUAAAUUCUGGAGGUUUUCCAUAUUGAAAUGUGACUUGGAGACACAGAAAGGUCACUAGUUUGUUGCAAAAAUAAAGUUGUUCAUAAUUAAAUAUGAAAUGGGAUGAAAACUG
rnacentral:lncRNA from 1 species